AGGUGUGAAGGGGAGAAAUAGAAGACCACAUGCAUGCACUAGCUCACCUCAUCAAUGUCGUGCGAUAUGCACAUGAAUGGUCCGUCCAAAUUCGGGUUGAUGCUUUGAUGAGGGGCAACUUCCUUUUGCCGUUUAUUUGUUAAUCUCUUGACAAAAAUGUUUAUUUUUUAUAUGGAAAGUGUAGAAACAAAGCUGGCUUAAGAUGUUCGUUCUAAUUGUUCUCUUGCUUGUGUGUUCGUUUCUAAGGAGGGUCUAUGUCGGGAUCCACAGCUAGGUGUUUAGGGGCUUCUUCCUUGAGAUGGAAUGUUCACAAACCUGAAGAACAUGCUUGAAUAUUUAGGGCAUGAUACUUUAUCUACUUUUAGCCAGCAGAUAAGAAUUCAUUGCAAUUUCAGCUUAUAAAUGGCUUGUUGUAACCCAAUUAAUUUUGGUAUGUCAUCAAUCUUAUGCUUCUCAGUUACUUCUGCUCAGUGCGUUAGAUUUGUCAGUCCAUCUCUGUGAUGUGAACAUUCCAUUGCAUUAUGCUUCAGUUUUGUGAGAAUUUCAUCUAAGUGAUGUGAACAUUCCGUUUCCUAUUUGUUUAUUAUGCUUCUCAAAUAAUUCAUUGCACUAUGCUUUAGUUUGAAUUGUGAACAUUCCAUCUUUGUGAUGUGUAUAUCGUGAUAUUGUAUUCAUCCUUAAAUGCUUCAAUUAGUGAUAGUUUGUUAGCUCUGCUCUACUAUGCAAUGUUGUGUAUUAGUAAUAACCUGGUAGCUUUGUACUUCCCGAACAACAAUGCAUUAGCAUCCUUUUUCUUGUCCGUGACUUGUGCCACUUCUGUGAAUGGCAGGAUUGCUUAUGGGUCCAGGGCGUGGAUGUGCAACACCGCAUAGAGGGUUUGAAGCCCUCCUAGGUGAUGUGAAAGAAAGCUCCAACUACAGGGCACGAGCUUCAUGCUGACGGGGAGUGGUCCAAUACAAAGUCGAAGGUGUUUUCUUCUACUCCAUUACAUCUGUUAAGUUGCUUGCAUGGAAAUACAAGUUUAAAAUUGUAUCUUUGCAAUGUAUAUGCGCAUCCUGAGAUUCAAUAGUACUGUGAUGAUCUAAAAGUUUAUACCAAAUGUUUGAUACUUGUUAGUACCAGCUGAUUGAUUUUCAGUUAUUAGUAAAUCACUUACAUAUCUUCACACCGCUUGAUGUAUGUGUUUUAAUGUUAGUUAAUGUACUCAUCUAUUGUAGAUGUUGGUUCAUGUUUAGUUAUUACCUACGUUAUAUUAAUGCCUUUGGCACAUUUACUUUGUUAAGGAGGAGCAUCCUUACUGUAGCACACCACCUAUUUUUUCACAGCUCAACACUACUUAACCAAUAACUACUCUGUCCCAAAAUAAGUGACUCAGUUUUUUGUACUAACUUUAUUCAAAGGGAGGGAGUACAUUAUUCAUUGUAGAUCCUUACAAGGUUAAUGAGAUAUAUAUCAGUUUUGCAGCUUGAUUUGAUACUACAGUUCAGCUUCCUUGUGUAUAGAGCAGCAGAGGAAGGUUGAUCAAUAGGGCAUUUCAUCAGAAAAAAUACCCAAAUAAUUGUGAAGCCGAUGAUUAGGAGAAUGCUUAUGUCGUUCUACAUUAUUGUUGUUAACAUGUGUAAUGUAACAUUUUUUUGUUAUUCAUGGUUGUUUGGGUGCCUAACUAGUUUGCUCGGUGAAGUUGUGUGUGUUUUAAAACUGAAUGCAAAUCGAGGAAUGUAAAAUAUUGCCGUAACAGAAAGAACAAAUAGUUAGCAUUGGGUUGCAACUAGACUACAAAACUGCACGUUUAAAUGCCUAUUUAUAUAAGUAAAACAAUUCUGGCCCAGAAAUUAUUGGGCACAAAAGCAAAUUAAUUGCCUGAAAUGUUCGUUUGG
rnacentral:lncRNA from 1 species